AUGUUUAACACAAUUAUUGAAAGUCUGGAUCUCUGGGAGAUCGAGCUUUCUAGUAGAAAAUUCACUUGGGCCAAUACUUUGCCAAAUCCAACAUAUGAGAAGUUGGAUCGUGUUCUCACCAGCGUGGAAUGGGAGCAGAAAUUCCCCUUGGUGACGGUCCAGGCGUUGUCACGAGGGAUAUCUGACCAUAACCCACUACUUGUCGACUCUAGAGAGGCAACUCAUGUGGAAAAUAAAAAUAUCUUCUCUUUUGAAUUAGCAUGGUUUCAGAGAGAAGGUUUUCUGGAUCUGAUAGCACAGGAUUGGACAAAAGAUUUAGGAGGGAGAUCGAGUGUAGAAAGAUGGCAGAAUAAGAUCAGGCACUUACGUCUAUUCCUGUGCGGCUGGGCCAAACAUAUGAGUGGUGUUUAUAAGUUUAAAAAGGAAAGGAUCCUUAACCUUAUUAGUACCUUAGAUUUAGAAGCCGAGUCAUCCAUUUUAGAUACCAGAGAGCUGGAAACUAAAGUGGAGGUGCAACUGACACUAAAAGAAUUGCUUCGA
rnacentral:rRNA from 1 species